rnacentral:sRNA from 1 species
UUUUUAUCGUUAUUUGCAGUGUUCCAGCUUGGAAAAACAUACUUAUUUCAGCUUGGAAAAUCACUUAUGUUCCAACUUACGGAAACCCAGG